GAUGAACGCUGGCGGCGUGCCUAAUACAUGCAAGUCGAGCGAACGGACGAUAAGCUUGCUUCUCUGAUGUUAGCGGCGGACGUGUGAGUAACACGUGUAUAACCUACCUAUAAGACUGGUAUAACUUCGGGAAACCGGAGCUAAUACCGUAUAAUAUUUUGAACCGCAUGGUUCAAAAGUGAAAGACGGUCUUGCUGUCACUUAUAGAUGGAUCCGCGCUGCAUUAGCUGGUUGUUAAGGUAACGGCUUACCAAGGCAACGAUGCAUAGCCGACCUAAGAGGGUGAUCGGCCACACUGGAACUGAGACACGGACCAGACUACUACGGGAGGCAGCAGUAGCGAAUCUUACGCAAUAGGCGAAAGCCUUACGGAGCAACGCGGCGUGAGUGAUGACAGUCUUCGGAUCGUAAAACUCUGUUAUUAGGGAAGAACAUAUGUGUAAGUAAAUGUGCACAUCUUGACGGUAACUAAUCAGAAAGCCACGGCUAACUACGUG
rnacentral:rRNA from 1 species